rnacentral:rRNA from 1 species
CAUCACUACGCUAGAUGCAUAUCAAUAAGCGGAGGAAAAGAAACUAACUAGGAUUCCCUCAGUAACGGCGAGUGGAGCGGGAAGAGCUCAAAUUUGAAAUCUUCAAGGUUCUGACCUUGACGAAUUGUAGUUUAAAGAAGUGUUUUCUGUUGGAGUUUUGGUAAAAGUUCUUUGGAAUAGGACAUCAUAGAGGGUGAGAAUCCCGUAUUCGACCAUUAUUUCCAACUUUGUGAUACACUUUCAAAGAGUCGGAUUGUUUGGGAAUGCAGUCCAAAAUGGGUGGUAAAUUUCAUCCUAAAGCUAAAUAUUGGCGAGAGACCGAUAGCGAACAAGUACCGUGAGGGAAAGAUGAAAAGAACUUUGAAAAGAGAGUUAAACAGUACGUGAAAUUGUCAAAAGGGAAGCGUUUGACACCAGUGUUGUUUUUCCGAAAAUCAAUUACGAAUGUUUUAGUUUUUGAGGAGUUAUGACUUCAUCGGCUUGCUUCUUUCUUUAUGAAACUUUCUUAAUGCACUUUUCGGUUAACAAGUCAACAUCAAUUUCUUUUGUUGUAAAAGGGUAUGAGGAAGGUGGCUUUCUUUUCGGAGAAAGUGUUUAUAGCCUUGUAGCCUCUGCAAUCGGAGAGAUUGAGGUCUGCAGCGUAGAUCCUUCGGGGUUAGAUACAUUUGUGCUAAGUUAUAGCCUUUCAUAGACAACUUGUUGACUAUGAUUAAGUCAUUGUAGCUUACUCGCUUAUGCUAUUUUACCUACGCUUAGGAUGUUGAUCUCUCACAGUCGAGC